rnacentral:tRNA from 1 species
ACUCAUAUAAUUUAUAGAGAAUAUUGCAUUGAAGCUGCAAAAGAGAUAAAUUUGUCUAUGGGUG